rnacentral:lncRNA from 10 species
CAAACGUUAGAGGUGACGUUAGGAUUAACUGAAGGCUCGGAUCGUUCCUGCUUCAACUUUCUGGGCCCUCACUCACCUCAUUCGCUCCAGUGCUCAGUUGUGUAGAUUGGUGGGGAUGUCGAGGAUACAAAGAUGAAGGAAGAAGAAUGGCUGUCUUUCUUUCUAUUCAGAAAAGAUCCCAGGUGAAGAAGUCCAUGUUUCAGAAUUUAUUUUAAAUUUUAAUUUAUUCUUUUCAGCUUAUAUGUGUUAGUGAAAUAUUUCAGGAUUUAGAUCAAAACAAGAGAAAGGGAAACGGUAACUUCGCCAAAGACACUGAAUCAACCCAUUACACAGGCCUAUCCUAACCUAUUAGGUAUCUUUCUCCAAUUCAUACCAUGUCUCCUCCCAUGACUGUGUUAAGGAGGAAUUAUUAGGAGGACUUUGUUUCCCCAUGAUCGCCAUCAGUCUCCUCACAAAAGACAUCCUAAUAGAGAAAUACAACUUAAAGGAAAAUAUGUGCUUGCUCUGCAGCUUCAACGAAAGUCCUCUAGUUCAUCCUCUAAUCACAUUGUCAACUCUGGUUCUCUCUAACUCUGGAGCCACUACUGAUGUCCCAAAUGCUCUGCACUGACCAUGAUGAGUUUUGCUCAGUCUCCCCAUAAUACUGC